rnacentral:rRNA from 1 species
GCAAGUCGAACGAGAUUCUAAUCUUCGGAUUUAAUGAAAGUGGCGCACGGGUGCGUAAAGCGUAUGCAACCUACCUUUUACUGAGGGAUACCCCGAUAAAUUCGGAUUAAUACCUCAUAUUAUCACCAGAUUUCAUCUGUAUGUGAUUAAAGAUUUAUCGGUAAGAGAUGGGCAUGCGUGACAUUAGAUAGUUGGUGAGGUAAUGGCUCACCAAGUCUACGAUGUCUAGGGGUUCUGAGAGGAUGAUC